rnacentral:rRNA from 1 species
GUCUACAGCCAUACCACCCUGAACGUGCCCGAUCUCGUCCGAUCUUGGAAGCUAAGCAGGGCCAGGCCUGGUUAGUACUUGGAUGGGAGUACUUGGAUGGGAAAUUUAAAGGAUGAGUAAGUU